GAACGUUACCAAACUGUUGCCUCGGCGGGAUCUCUGCCCCGGGUGCGUCGCAGCCCCGGACCAAGGCGCCCGCCGGAGGACCAACCAAAACUCUUUUUGUAUACCCCCUCGCGGGUUUUUUAUAAUCUGAGCCUUCUCGGCGCCUCUCGUAGGCGUUUCGAAAAUGAAUCAAAACUUUCAACAACGGAUCUCUUGGUUCUGGCAUCGAUGAAGAACGCAGCGAAAUGCGAUAAGUAAUGUGAAUUGCAGAAUUCAGUGAAUCAUCGAAUCUUUGAACGCACAUUGCGCCCGCCAGUAUUCUGGCGGGCAUGCCUGUCCGAGCGUCAUUUCAACCCUCGAACCCCUCCGGGGGGUCGGCGUUGGGGAUCGGCCCUGCCUUUUGGCGGUGGCCGUCUCCGAAAUACAGUGGCGGUCUCGCCGCAGCCUCUCCUGCGCAGUAGUUUGCACACUCGCAUCGGGAGCGCGGCGCGUCCACAGCCGUUAAACACCCAACUUCUGAAAUGUUGACCUCGGAUCAGGUAGGAAUACCCGCUGAACUUAA
rnacentral:rRNA from 2 species